CCUACGGGGGUCUGCAGUAAGGAAUAUUGGUCAAUGGGCGGAAGCCUGAACCAGCCAUGCCGCGUGCAGGAAGACGGCCUACGGGUUGUAAACUGCUUUUAUACGGGAAUAUGUACUGUAAGAAUAAGGAUCGGCUAACUCCGUGCCAGCAGCCGCGGUAAUACGGAGGAUCCAAGCGUUAUCCGGAUUUAUUGGGUUUAAAGGGUGCGUAGGUGGCCUGUUAAGUCAGGGGUGAAAGACGGUAGCUCAACUAUCGCAGUGCCCUUGAUACUGAUGGGCUUGAAUACACUAGAGGUAGGCGGAAUGUGACAAGUAGCGGUGAAAUGCAUAGAUAUGUCACAGAACACCAAUUGCGAAGGCAGCUUACUAUGGUGUAUUGACACUGAGGCACGAAAGCGUGGGGAUCAAACAGGAUUAGAUACCCGAGUAGUC
rnacentral:rRNA from 1 species